CCUACGGGGGGCAGCAGUGGGGAAUAUUGCACAAUGGGCGCAAGCCUGAUGCAGCCAUGCCGCGUGUAUGAAGAAGGCCUUCGGGUUGUAAAGUACUUUCAGCGGGGAGGAAGGGAGUAAAGUUAAUACCUUUGCUCAUUGACGUUACUCGCAGAAGAAGCACCGGCUAACUCCGUGCCAGCAGCCGCGGUAAUACGGAGGGUGCAAGCGUUAAUCGGAAUUACUGGGCGUAAGGCGCACGCAGGCGGUUUGUUAAGUCAGAUGUGAAAUCCCCGGGCUCAACCUGGGAACUGCAUCUGAUACUGGCAAGCUUGAGUCUCGUAGAGGGGGGUAGAAUUCCAGGUGUAGCGGUGAAAUGCGUAGAGAUCUGGAGGAAUACCGGUGGCGAAGGCGGCCCCCUGGACGAAGACUGACGCUCAGGUGCGAAAGCGUGGGGAGCAAACAGGAUUAGAUACCCCAGUAGUC
rnacentral:rRNA from 1 species